rnacentral:misc_RNA from 1 species
GUGAAUCAUCAAAUUUUUGAACGCAAAUUGCACUCUCUUCGGAGAGUAUGCCUGCUUGAGGGUCAGCCUAAAAAAAAUCGACAUAGUUGCUGUUUCGCGGUGGCAUUCGUCGGAAAUUGGGUCAUCUUAAACCUUUGGGUUUAAGCGGCUUAAAAUUUUCUUUACGAUUUCACUAACGGUUCUAAGAUUUUACUUCUUACCCGUUUAAGGUAUCGAACUUUAUUAGACGUGGCCGUUCAUUCCGAU